AUGUUCCACAGCAAUAUCUUAUCUCCUCUGUAAAAAAAUCAUCAUCUUCUUCCUCCUCUUAAUCUUUGCCAUACGCAAUAACUGCAGUGAGAAAUACUCAAGACAGAGCUAAAAGUAGUACUUAGUAGAAACACAGGUCCCAAAGGUUGCUUUACUAAGCAAGAUAAGGCAAGAAGCAAGGUCAUAGCAGUUGCACGAAAAGUCGUCACGCCUUAGCAUAACUGUUUUCUUGCUCAUUAGCGCUGUUUUUUUGAAAGAAGGGGCGGAGCUUGAAGUAUUUAGCAUGAUGAAUAACGAGACCAUUUUUCGGACAUCGGUAAGCUGCUUGGCAGCAAUAAUAGUGUUGAUUGGUCUAUACACUCAGUCUUUCUACAAAAUGGUGGCAACUUACUUGUUUGGAAUGCUAGCUAUAUGUGGUGUUAUUUUACCUGAUUGGGAAUUCUUCGAUCGUAGUGUCUCACAUUGGUGCACCCCUGUCACUGUGAAUGACUUCACCAACAAAUCUCCCGGACCCUUCACUUCUACUAGGUAUAAAUUCUACCCAGUCAGAUCGGUGGUUUACGCAAUAGUUUAUGGAUUCGGUCUUUACAGGUGGUGGAUUUAUAUAUCAAGCUAUAAAUGAAAGCAAGCAGUAAUGAAUUGUCAUUGUAGCAGUUGUGGCAUACUGCAUCAUAUAUUAACUCAGAAAUCGUCUAUGUCCGUCUUACUGUAUUAUGUGUGUGUGUGUGUGUGCGCGUGCGCAUCUUUGCCAGUGUGUGUAUGAUAAGCAUCAUAUGAUCAAAAAACUGCAAGUUCAUCGCUACAGAAAUAUUUGUAUUUCAUCCAAAGAAAAGAUAUGUGAGAUUUGCAUUCAUAAUUUUCAA